CUUUGAUUUGGCUCAGGAUGAACGCUAGCUACAGGCUUAACACAUGCAAGUCGAGGGGAAACGACAUCGAAAGCUUGCUUUUGAUGGGCGUCGACCGGCGCACGGGUGAGUAACGCGUAUCCAACCUGCCCACCACUUGGGGAUAACCUUGCGAAAGUAAGACUAAUACCCAAUGAUAUCUCUAGAAGACAUCUGAAAGAGAUUAAAGAUUUAUCGGUGAUGGAUGGGGAUGCGUCUGAUUAGCUUGUUGGCGGGGUAACGGCCCACCAAGGCAACGAUCAGUAGGGGUUCUGAGAGGAAGGUCCCCCACAUUGGAGCUGAGACACGGUCCAAACUCCUACGGGAGGCAGCAGUGAGGAAUAUUGGUCAAUGGACGAGAGUCUGAACCAGCCAAGUAGCGUGCAGGAUGACGGCCCUAUGGGUUGUAAACUGCUUUUAUAAGGGAAUAAAGUGAGUCUCGUGAGACUUUUUGCAUGUACCUUAUGAAUAAGGACCGGCUAAUUCCGUGCCAGCAGCCGCGGUAAUACGGAAGGUCCGGGCGUUAUCCGGAUUUAUUGGGUUUAAAGGGAGCGUAGGCCGGAGAUUAAGCGUGUUGUGAAAUGUAGACGCUCAACGUCUGCACUGCAGCGCGAACUGGUUUCCUUGAGUACGCACAAAGUGGGCGGAAUUCGUGGUGUAGCGGUGAAAUGCUUAGAUAUCACGAAGAACUCCGAUUGCGAAGGCAGCUCACUGGAGCGCAACUGACGCUGAAGCUCGAAAGUGCGGGUAUCGAACAGGAUUAGAUACCCUGGUAGUCCGCACGGUAAACGAUGGAUGCCCGCUGUUGGUCUGAAUAGGUCAGCGGCCAAGCGAAAGCAUUAAGCAUCCCACCUGGGGAGUACGCCGGCAACGGUGCAACUCAAAGGAAUUGACGG
rnacentral:rRNA from 1 species